GGCAGCAGCUAAGAAUAUUCCGCAAUGGACGAAAGUCUGACGGAGCGACGCCGCGUGGAUGAUGAAGGCCGGAAGGUUGUAAAAUCCUUUUAAGUAUGAGGAAUAAGCAGUGUGAGAGAAACGCAUUGUGGUGACUGUAGUACUUGAAUAAGCAACGGCUAAUUACGUGCCAGCAGCCGCGGUAACACGUAAGUUGCGAGCGUUGUUCGGAAUUAUUGGGCGUAAAGGGCAUGUAGGCGGUUUUGCAAGCUUGGUGUGAAAUGCCGGAGCUUAACUCCGGAAUUGCGUUGAGAACUGCAUAACUAGGGUCACUGAGGGGCAAUCAGAAUUCCAGGUGUAGGGGUGAAAUCUGUAGAUAUCUGGAAGAAUACCAAUGGCGAAGGCAGGUUACCAGCAGAUGACUGACGCUGAGGUGCGAAGGUGCGGGGAGCAAACAGGAUUAGAUACCCUGGUAGUCCGCACAGUCAACUAUGUACACUAGAUGUCUGGCCGAUAGGCUGGGUGUCAAAGCAAACGCGAUAAGUGUACCGCCUGGGGAGUAUGCCCGCAAGGGUGAAACUCAAAGGAAUUGACGG
rnacentral:rRNA from 1 species